GUAAACGCGUUCACGCACCUCCGUGUAAGUCCGUAGCCUCUCCCCCCCCCCCCCAAGCGCGUACGCUCUCAUCACAUCACAUCCCACUCCCUCCCACUCCCUCCCACUCCCUCCCUCCCUCGCUCCCCUGGCCGCGCUACGCGUCGCGAUCAGUCUCGCGACACCUCGGACGUCAAUCCGACCGUCUCCUCUCGUCUGUCAGUCCGUCAAAGAUCGGAACGCCAAAGGGCCCGUCGUGUGUUCCACGCGUCCUCCUCCUGCACUCUCGAUUGUCUCUCGCCGUGUGUCUCUGUCUCGCACGUUUCCUCUCUCUCUCGCUCGCUCGCUCGCCGCGGAGACGAGAGGACGCACAGACGGAAGAAGGCUCCUGCCGCUGAUGGUGCUGAUGCUGCAACUGGUGUUGAUAAUGCAGCGAUCAGCGCCUGGCUUCGUGUGGGAGCCAACUCACUCAACGCUGCCCUCUCCUGGCCACGCCCCGCAGCCACGCGCCUACAUCACCUGGCAAGAUCUGCAGAAUAUUGCGACAAGUGCUGUCGAGCGAGCGCUUGAUGGAGGUUCCGGGCGGCACACGUGGCCAGCUCCACGCCUUUGUCGCCCGGGUGACGAUUCUUCCACGUAGCACCGAGUUAUCAAUUUGAGGGCGGAGUCGACCUAAGGGAGGCUCAGGACCGGUUCAGAUAAUCGUCACCGGUCUUGGCGGCCGGAGUUGAACUCGGAGAGGGGACGGAAAGGAGAGAGGGAGAGGCGGUGGCGCAGUGGUCAGCCGAGACCUCUCAGACGCCCUCCUCGCGCGUGGCCGUUCAACUUCUCGCCACCUCGCGUCACCGUCGCCUCUCGCCGUGGUGGCUGUCGGGCGUCAGUGCGGACAAGCGGCCUCGGCUGCUCGCGCCGCGCUCGGGGAGCGGUGGCGCAGUGGUUAGCGCACCGCGCAAAAGAAAACCGGCGAGCUGAGUUUUGAUUCCCAUCGCAUCCCGACGGCGAGCCGUCUCAGUGGCGAGUGACCUCUGCUGAUCCUCCCGCACCCUUCCCGGAAUUAGAGCGACUCGGCAUCGACAUGAGUACCGUCACCAGGUGUGGUGUUUGCAUAAGACAACACAUAUACUUAUCUUUCAAAUAAAACCAUCGGCUACUGGAGGAGACAAAGGCGGAGCGGACGUGGUGACGCCGAUCACACCAACCUCCUCCGCCUCAUCUUAAUAAUAGGCGCUCGCUAGCACCAUCUGCCCCCAACCAACGGGCUAUGUGGAGCUUAUCCGGAGAUGUGAUUGUGGUUUAUUUUUGUCCUUGUCUCGGUUGCAUCCACUCUCUCCCUCACCACCUCCCUCUUCCUCCUCCACCGUCCACCACAGCCCCCCCCCCCCAGAUCCCAACAAUAUUAUUCUAUUUCCCACAACUGUAAUAGAUGAGCGAGUGGAGUCAAGGCCUCGAGGAGUUAAAGCGAAGGGGGAAAAAAAGGAAACGAGGUUGGGAUGGCUCGAGGGGGGGAG